GCAAAGCCAGCAGGAUUACGAAACGGGGUCCGGCGGGCGGCGUCCUGCAGAGCCGCCCCCUCCGACCGCAGCCGGGGCGCACCUUCCUGCCCACCCCACCUUCCACAGUCAACACGACCGCGAGCCAAACCCAGCCCGGGCCACGUCUGGCCGUCGCUUUUGUCCUGCUCCGCGCUGACCACCUUUUCCCGGAGCAGGUUAACGGUCCGGAGCCCGGGGGUGCGCCCUGCGGCCCCGCCAGGAAGCCCCAGAUGGACAAAUGGGAAGAUGGCUCAGUCAAUGGUGUGUGACUUGUCUGGUGGGUGCAGAGCAUGGUUCACGGUCGUGUUUUCUGUUCUGUUUAUCAGACGAUACUGGACAACAGUGAGGGACAGAAUCUGAAGGAAUUCUGCUCAAUGCACAGCACCGGAAGUCAGCUGCCACCUCGUGAGCAAGCCUGUGGAGGAGCCCACCUAGCGAGGACCUGGAGCCUUGUGCCAUUGGACGUGCAAGUAAACCUAGAAGCAGAGCCUCAAGCCCCAGCAAAAGAAGGAAAGAAAGAAAGAAAGAAAAGGGAAGAGAAGAAAAGAGAAAAGAAAAGAAAACUGGACCACGCUUCCUCACGGGAUGCAGAAUAAAAUUUAAUAAGGAAUGGACCCGGUCCAGUAUACCCUACCAGCCAGAAGCUGGAAGCUCUCUGUGGGACGUAUGGCCUCCAUGUGAACUCAUGAUGGAUGGGCCCACCAGUCAAUUAUCCUUCCACACUGGGAACUCUGGCCAUCACCGAGACUUUGCCAUAAUCCAGAAAAUUCACUUCCUUCUGGCCUGCCUCUUCCUUUUUCAGGAAACCCAUUGUGUGUUCUCAAGGAAUCUGUUUGUACAACAACCUACAUCAAAACCCUUUCUUCCUGAAGAUGAAGUGGUUAAGAGGGAAGGCUUGGGCUUUCCUUCAUGUGUCAGAGAGUGACGGUGUUUAUAUACAGAAUUGAUUUCUUGGAAACACAGCAGCCUCAAGCCCUUUUAUCUGUGAAUGACAAAGUAAAAUUUAUAGUCUCACUGGAAGGCCUCUGUCUGUUGCCAUUUA